GCGGUUAUAGCUCAGCUGGUUAGAGCGCAACACUGAUAAUGUUGAGGUCCCAAGUUCAAAUCUUGGUAACCGCACCA
rnacentral:tRNA from 1 species